UGGGGAUAUAGCUCAGUUGGUAGAGUGUUUGCCUCGCAAGCACAAGGCCCUGGGUUCUUCAAUCCCCAGUACCGCAA